AUUAAUAAUCAGGGUUUAGCACAUAAAUACUGUAUUGCUGGUAUAUACGAUUACAGCAACAGUUAACUAUGAACGGCUGUACCUCAUAAACAGUAUGCUCCAGAAGUAUUGGCACCCUUAUUAAUACAGGGCCAGUGCUGAUGUUCAGAGCUGCAUUACACCCUGGGUGAAUUAUCCAAAGCCCUGCCAAACACACACACCUCCAAUAUGAUGCAUGUGCUUCAACGCAGCAGCAUGAAUUAUUUCUCAAGUUUUAAUCCUAAAUCCCAUCUGCUAAGAAGACUGAUGUGAAUAGCAGUAAGAGAGAAAGAGGAGAAGUCGUCAGACAGUGAAGAGACAGAAGGAGGUAAUUCUGCUGCUGGACUGAUACGAUUGCAGCCCAAAUGGGAAAAGAUCCCAGAGUGACUACAAAGGACAGAAGUGGAGCUGGCUCCAUGUGAGCAG